AUUUAAGUCGCAUCACCUCUCUUACACAUCACUUCAAACCCAACCCAUAUUUCAUAAAAAGUCAAAAAGUGUACUUAUUUAGUUUUCCCAAACUAGGCCUAAGUCAAUUAGGAUAACAGAAAAGUUCUGGAAGAUCAAUAUAAAACUCUUACAACAUAAAAACAUUUUGACACCAACUUCAACUAGGUCAGUUCCAUUGCUUGAAUAAAUCAUUUAUUUCUAUCUUCACUUAAGUGACUUUUACCAGUGAAUAGAAAAGGUGAGCAAAGAGAACGACAACAUGUUGAAAUCCUGUGCUAAAAGAUUACAGUUGUACAAAGAUCAUAAUAAUAUACUUCUCAUCUUACUCUACCAUUUAGUUUCUUAAUCUAUCUAUAAUAGUCAAUCCAUUCAUUUGAAAUUCAUUUAUCCAAGUGGAACCUAAAUGUUUCUAUAUGUUUGUGUGGGAGUUAUUGCUUCAUGUGCAGGCUGUGCUUUCAGUUCUUCUUGCGACGCUUGCUGGAUUUGGAGGCGCAAUGAGUGGGACCGCUAUUCUUCUCGAGACCUUAAAAUUGAGAAGACGGUGGCAAGGUUGGUUAAAUCAACAACCAAGUUCUGAAGAGGUGUACUAUGUCUACCACUCUAUGCUGCUGGUUUUUCUGAUUCUCAUUAUUGUUACGGUUUGUGUAACAAUUUGGGAACAUAUUUCUUUCUAAAUGCCGAGAACUAUCACUGGCAGUGGCCUUCAUUCUUCUCUGCUGCAUCAACAGCUGUCUAUGUGCACUUGUAUUCAAUAUAUUACUACUACGUGAAGACUAAGAUGUCAGGCUUCUUCCAGACCAGCUUCUAUUUUGGAUACAGUAUGAUGUUUUGCCUCGGUUUAGGAAUUCUUUGCGGGGGAGUUUUAUUGUUUCCACAAGCAUUCUUUUAUUGCUGCACUGCUCUAUUGUUGCUUCCUCAUUUGUUUAUAUAAUUUCUAUAGCCCCAAAGCCUUUUAUCAUGCUACUGAAAAUCCUAUUAGGAAUUAUGAUAUUUGAUUUGCUGAUCAAAACCAAAAAAGAAAUAUUAUGAAAUUUGAUUUGUUUUCAGUUUUGUACCCUUAGAAACAUAGAGGGAAUUUCUAUUUUUUGCCUGAAAUUUCGUAUAGUGGCAAACUAUGAAUAACGGAUCAGAAUCUCUAGAAUUUUUGUGAAGACUUUACAACUCACUUAAUAUGAGAAUUCCACUGCAUUAUAACCAUUAAUCAAUUCCAAGUUGGUGUAACCGUGACAUGAAACUUCCCUUCUCUCUCCCUUGCUUUUGAAAAAAUCAUACACACAAGCAGAUGAUAAUUAGUGUGACUUUUUUUUUUUUUUGGUCUUUCCAUGGUUCAAAAUAUUCUCUGUUGUUUUGUAGAGGCACCUAAACCAAUAAAUGCAGACCUCAUCACCUAGUGGAAAAUUUCUUUGAAAAAUCUUUUAUGGCUAUGACUUUAUGAUUAAUAAUGACACAGAAAAUAGGAUUGGUGAGGAAAGCCAAUAGAGGUACAACCCAUUUUGUUUGAGACAGAGGCACUAAAGCAGUGGGUGUUUGGCUUAGCUUGUUUCUGAAGAUGAGGCUCAGCAAGGAGUUGGGAAGCAUAACUGAAACUACACUGCAUUUUCUACUUUUGGCCCCUUUUUUGUGUUGCUUCCUAAAAGUCAGUUUGCUUUUGGUAUUUUGUGUGAUGCCAUUGUCUGACAAUCAAUCUGUCUUUUUUCACAAAAAAAUGUAAUUUCAGUUUUGGUAUUUUUUUUUGUCAAUGUAUUCUCUUUCUCUUGUUUAAUAAAGUUUCAUUUACUUA